rnacentral:rRNA from 1 species
AUUGAACGCUGGCGGCAGGCCUAACACAUGCAAGUCGAGCGAGCGGCGGCCGGGUGAGUAAUGCCUGGGAAUUGCCCAGUCGAGGGGGAUAACAGUUGGAAACGACUGCUAAUACCGCAUACGAUUGGAUUGCCUAGGUGGACUUAGCUAGUUGGUGAGGUAAUGGCUCACCAAUGCGACGAUCCCUAGCUGGUCUGAGAGGAUGAUCAUCCACAAUGGAACUGAUACACAGUCCAGACUCCAACGGGAGGCAGCAGGGGGGAAUAUGGCACAAUGGGGGAAACCCUGAUGCAGCCAUGCCGCGUGUGUGAAGAAGGCCUUCGGGUUGUAAAGCACGUUCAGCGAGGAGGCGUUACUCGCAGAAGAAGCACCGGCUAACUCCGUGCCAGCAGCCGCGGUAAUAG